CCUACGGGCGGCAGCAGUGGGGAAUAUUGGACAAUGGGGGGAACCCUGAUCCAGCCAUGCCGCGUGUGUGAAGAAGGCCCUCGGGUUGUAAAGUACUUUCAGUGAGGAAGAACGCCUGGUGGUUAAUACCCAUCAGGAAAGACAUCACUCACAGAAGAAGCACCGGCUAACUCCGUGCCAGCAGCCGCGGUAAUACGGAGGGUGCGAGCGUUAAUCGGAAUUACUGGGCGUAAAGCGCGCGUAGGUGGCUUGAUAAGCCGGUUGUGAAAGCCCCGGGCUCAACCUGGGAACGGCAUCCGGAACUGUCAAGCUAGAGUGCAGGAGAGGAAGGUAGAAUUCCCGGUGUAGCGGUGAAAUGCGUAGAGAUCGGGAGGAAUACCAGUGGCGAAGGCGGCCUUCUGGACUGACACUGACACUGAGGUGCGAAAGCGUGGGUAGCAAACAGGAUUAGAUACCCUGGUAGUC
rnacentral:rRNA from 1 species